rnacentral:sRNA from 1 species
CAAUCGAGGCAGUCAUUGGGGAGUAGCCUCCCUUCAUUCGAGAGGGCUUUCGCGUCAACAGACUUGGGCAUCGCUGCCCAUGGCGCAGGGGCAUCGUCCACACCCGUGGACCCGCUUGGCGAGACCUUUGACUGUGCCGCUUCCGUUUUUGGCCGGGGGAGCGGCGCAGU